rnacentral:rRNA from 1 species
GAUGAACGCUGGCGGCGUGCCUAAUACAUGCGAGUCGAGCGAACAGACGAGGAGCUUGCUCCUCUGACGUUAGCGGCGGACGGGUGAGUAACACGUGGAUAACCUACCUAUAAGACUGGGAUAACUUCGGGAAACCGGAGCUAAUACCGGAUAAUAUAUUGAACCGCAUGGUUCAAUAGUGAAAGACGGUUUUGCUGUCACUUAUAGAUGGAUCCGCGCCGCAUUAGCUAGUUGGUAAGGUAACGGCUUACCAAGGCAACGAUGCGUAGCCGACCUGAGAGGGUGAUCGGCCACACGGGAACUGAGACACGGUCCAGACUCCUACGGGAGGCAGCAGUAGGGAAUCUUCCGCAAUGGGCGAAAGCCUGACGGAGCAACGCCGCGUGAGUGAUGAAGGUCUUCGGAUCGUAAAACUCUGUUAUUAGGGAAGAACAAAUGUGUAAGUAACUAUGCACGUCUUGACGGUACCUAAUCAGAAAGCCACGGCUAACUACGU